GGUCUGUUAGCGUAGUGGUUAACGUGCCUGUUUAUAAAGUAGGAGGUUAUAAGUUCGAUCCUUACACGGGCUU